UACGAAGGGGGCUAGCGUUGCUCGGAAUCACUGGGCGUAAAGGGUGCGUAGGCGGCCCUGUAAGUCAGUGCUGAAAUACCCCGGCUUAACCGGGGGGGUGGGCAUUGAUACUGCAGGGCUUGAGUACAGAUGAGGUAGGCGGAAUUGACGGUGUAGCGGUGAAAUGCGUAGAUAUGUGGAGGAACACCAGUGGCGAAGGCGACUUUCUGGGCUGUAACUGACGCUGAGGCGCGAAAGCGUGGGGGAGCAAACAGG
rnacentral:rRNA from 1 species